GAUGAACGCUGGCGGCGUGCCUAAUACGUGCAAGUCGAGCGAACAGAUAAGGAGCUUGCUCCUUUGAAGUUAGCGGCGGACGGGUGAGUAACACGUGGGUAACCUACCUAUAAGACUGGGAUAACUUCGGGAAACCGGAGCUAAUACCGGAUAACAUUUAGAACCGCAUGGUUCUAAAGUGAAAGAUGGUUUUGCUAUCACUUAUAGAUGGACCCGCGCCGUAUUAGCUAGUUGGUAAGGUAACGGCUUACCAAGGCGACGAUACGUAGCCGACCUGAGAGGGUGAUCGGCCACACUGGAACUGAGACACGGUCCAGACUCCUACGGGAGGCAGCAGUAGGGAAUCUUCCGCAAUGGGCGAAAGCCUGACGGAGCAACGCCGCGUGAGUGAUGAAGGGUUUCGGCUCGUAAAACUCUGUUAUUAGGGAAGAACAAAUGUGUAAGUAACUGUGCACAUCUUGACGGUACCUAAUCAGAAAGCCACGGCUAACUACGUG
rnacentral:rRNA from 1 species